rnacentral:lncRNA from 1 species
UUGGUGGAGCCGUUGGCGCCAUUCUGAUCAUUUUGAUUAUCAUCAUUGUAGUCAUUAUCGUGUUCAAACGACGAAGGAAUAAUAGUCAUCCGUCUAAACAAAAAAACAUCGAGGACCAAUUUCAGGCACCAGUUGAUUUCCAAGACACGCCAUUAGAAGAAAAUAAGAGUGGGCACGCCUCCGUUUUGAACCCAGACCAAUCACCUCCAAGGAGCACAAGACCCAAACCAGCUGUAGCCGUCAAGCCCUUUGUACAGGAAACUAAAUCCUUAGACCUCGAUUCAACCGAUGGAUCUCCUGACAGAUCUAGCAACAAACCUCUUGGCACACGUCAACCAUUAUCCCUGGCUCAGUUUCCUACGUUCGUCAACAAGAACAGACACACCACGCUCUUCUCCGAGGAAUUUCAUGACUUACCUGGCCCAAACAUCUAUCCUCAGACCGUAGCUCAAGAGGAGAUCAACUUCAAGAAGAACAGAUACAAGAAUAUUU